GACGAACGCUGGCGGCGUGCCUAAUACAUGCAAGUAGAACGCUGAAGAGAGGAGCUUGCUCUUCUUGGAUGAGUUGCGAACGGGUGAGUAACGCGUAGGUAACCUGCCUGGUAGCGGGGGAUAACUAUUGGAAACGAUAGCUAAUACCGCAUAAAAUUGAUUAUUGCAUGAUAAUUAAUUGAAAGAUGCAAUUGCAUCACUACCAGAUGGACCUGCGUUGUAUUAGCUAGUUGGUGAGGUAACGGCUCACCAAGGCGACGAUACAUAGCCGACCUGAGAGGGUGAUCGGCCACACUGGGACUGAGACACGGCCCAGACUUCUACGGGAGGCAGCAGUAGGGAAUCUUCGGCAAUGGGGGGAACCCUGACCGAGCAACGCCGCGUGAGUGAAGAAGGUUUUCGGAUCGUAAAGCUCUGUUGUAAGAGAAGAACGGGUGUGAGAGUGGAAAGUUCACACUGUGACGUAUCUACCAGAAAGGGACGG
rnacentral:rRNA from 1 species